UGGGGAAUUUUGGACAAUGGGGGCAACCCUGAUCCAGCAAUGCCGCGUGAGUGAAGAAGGCCUUCGGGUUGUAAAGCUCUUUUGUCCGGGAAGAAAUCCCAUCCUUGAAUACGGGGUGGGGAUGACGGUACUGGAAGAAUAAGCACCGGCUAACUACGUGCCAGCAGCCGCGGUAAUACGUAGGGUGCAAGCGUUAAUCGGAAUUACUGGGGGUAAAGCGUGCGCAGGCGGUUGUGCAAGACCGAUGUGAAAUCCCCGGGCUUAACCUGGGAACUGCAUUGGUGACUGCACGGCUAGAGUGUGUCAGAGGGGGGUAGAAUUCCACGUGUAGCAGUGAAAUGCGUAGAGAUGUGGAGGAAUACCGAUGGCGAAGGCAGCCCCCUGGGAUAACACUGACGCUCAUGCACGAAAGCGUGGGGAGCAAACAGGAUUAGAUACCCUGGUAGUCCACGCCCUAAACGAUGUCAACUAGUUGUCGGGGAUUAAUUUCCUUGGUAACGCAGCUAACGCGUGAAGUUGACCGCCUGGGGAGUACGGUCGCAAGAUUAAAAGCUC
rnacentral:rRNA from 1 species